rnacentral:rRNA from 1 species
UUUGAUGGGUCUAAAAACCCUGAAGGCACCAAAUGCCAUCUGACUUUGAAAUCUAAGUAGGGUCAGCUCUGGUUAAUACUUGGUUGGGAGACUGCCCAUGAAUACCAGGUGCCAUAGACU